CACAGGGCGAUGGCCGACUAGGCUCGUUCUGAUCGCGUGGGAGUGGUGGCCGGCGGAGCGGCAGGUGGUGGGAUCAAUACCACAGUCUAGGGCGCACGCAGUGACCGACCGGCGCCUACAUCCAACCUAUAUUUGAACUAGGUGUGAAUCUCUUCAUUCCUGAUUUGAUCUGGCACACUCAACACACACUCGUCAAAGACCUCCAUCUUGAGAUACGGAGGGUAAAGGUAAGAAGCACCAUCUUGUAUAGGAAAUGAGUUGAAAUAGUAUCCGCCGAAAAAGCAGCAAGUUAUUGUUGGAAGAUUUACUGAAAUAGUCCUAGCGUUGGAAGCUUCAUUAUUAUUUUUUAUUUCUUAAGUGGAUGGACGAGCUCACGGCCUACCCGAUGUUAAGUGGUUACGGGAGCUCAUAGGCAUCUACAACGUAAAUUCCGCCACCCACCUUGAAACAAGUUCUAAGAUCCCACUUUUAACAACUGCUGCCCCGCCCUUCAAACCGAAACGCAUUACUGCUUCACGGCAGAAAGAGGCAGGGUGGUGGUACCUACCCGUGCGGACUCACAAGACUUCCUACCACCGUCCUACCAUCUGGAAAUUAUAUGAAUAUAGCAGUUUUAAACAGAAUGAGGCGCUGGAUUGAAGUGAAAUGUGUUAAUUUAUUAUGGCGCUGUUUUUAAAAUCCUUACACUUGUUACUACGGCGCAUUGGCUUCCUUUCAGAGGACACUUUAAUAUGGUACUUCUUAGUUCAAUCCUCCAUGGCUUGAGAUACUCCACUAUUCGGGACGAGAAAAUUCUGUGAGUCGCUUAUCUGAUAUCAAAUUUGGAAGGUAGCAUAACUGUUUAUAAAGGGCUUAAAUAGGGUAGGUGCUAGCUCCAACAGCGUUCUGGCCAUGAUAUUUUCGAGAUUAGAUGGAUCUUUUCUCCAUCAUAGUAGAACGGUCCGCAAAAUUUGCUCGUAAUGGUCAACUAUUGCAAUUGUAUGUAUGUAUUGUUUGUCUUUUCUUUUGUCAAAUCCUUACUAACAUAUUGUUAAGAAAUCACUGUUACUAACGUUAAUAUGGAUUAAUAUUAUCUGAAAUAAAUGAAUUUAAUAA